GGAUGUGAGUGCUACUUGUCUGCGACAUCUGUCUCCCAUUGAUCAGCAGGGUUGUUUGUCUGAUCUGACUAGGUAGGCGGGUUUCCCCUUCCUCCCUCACCUUUCCAUGUGUGUCCCACCCAAAGCUUCACGCUCUGGGGAAUAGGUUGAAGUUCUCCAAAUAGAGACGGACUUAGGUGGAGGGUAGAGAGUGGUUGUGUUCCCCUGCUAGAAGCUCUGAACAAGCUGUUAAGGUCCAUAAUCGAAAGAUUUCCUUUGGUUGACUGAUUACCAAAUUUCUUCCAUUUCUUUAUAUAUUUUUG
rnacentral:snRNA from 1 species